UCGGCGUACACCCUGCAGC
rnacentral:snRNA from 1 species